rfam:Oryza meridionalis cultivar OR44 (W2112) chromosome 12, whole genome shotgun sequence.
AAUAAGCACAACCAGGAGUUCCGUGUCUAACUUUGAUCGUUCGUCUUAUUUGAAUUUUUUUAUAUUAAUAAUUUUAUUGUUAUUAGAUUAUAAAAAUAUGAAUAGUACUUUAUGUGUGACUUAUUUUUUUAUCUUUUUAAUUUUUUUAAAUAAGAUAAACGAUUAAAGUUGGACGUAUAAACUUAUGGCUGCGUUUACU